rnacentral:lncRNA from 1 species
AGUGGUCAAUAAGACAGGAAAACAAGACUUGAGAAAUGGGGAGGAGUCAAAUCAUGAAGAACAGCUGAUACCAUGUCAGAGCGUGUGGAUUUUGUCUGGAAGGAAGAACCACUUCUGGAAUGGAAUCUGAGCUACAGAAGAUUCCAUCAACGAGCAGAAAGAGGUAGGCGUGCCAUGUCUUGUUAAUAGCAUUGAUCAUGUCUGGAAGUCACAGGUCAACAUGGUAAAGGCUACAAGGGAAAUAUAAUCCACGUUUUUGAAUCCUCCUGAAAACAUUGACUUAAGUCUCUCUCCUAGGCCUCCAUAUCAGAAGUGAUUUUUAAAAUAUUUAUAUCUAUACAGGUUUAAUUUUUUUUAAUAAAAGAAUGCAAUACACCCCA